CAGCGCCACGAGUGGCAAUCACGUUUAUUGGGCCUAAAGCGUCCGUAGCCGGAUUAUUAAGUCUUUUGUGAAAUCGUUGUGCUUAACAUAACGCUGUGCAAAAGAGACUGAUAAUCUUGGAACCGGGAAGAGUCAGAGGUAUUUUAGGGGGAGCGAUAAAAUGCUAUAAUCCCUAGAGGACCACCUGUGGCGAAGGCGUCUGACUAGAACGGCUUCGACGGUGAGGGACGAAAGCCAGGGGAGCAAACCGGAUUAGAUACCCGAGUAGUC
rnacentral:rRNA from 1 species